UAGCGAGUAGUGUUAGCGACAAGCUAGCCAGUGGACAAUAGCGAGUAGUGUUAGCGACAAGCUAGCCAGUGGACAAUAGCGAGUAGUGUUAGCGACAAGCUAGCCAGUGGACAAUAACGAGUAGUGUUAGCGACAAGCUAGCCAGUGGACAAUAGCGAGUAGUGUUAGCGACAAGCUAGCCAGUGGACAAUAUCGAGUAGUGUUAGCGACAAGCUAGCCAGUGGACAAUAUCGAGUAGUGUUAGCGACAAGCUAGCCAGUGGCCAAUAGCGAGUAGUGUUAGCGACAAGCUAGCCAGUGGCCAAUAGCGAGUAGUGUUAGCGACAAGCUAGCCAGUGGCCAAUAUUGAGUAGUGUUAGCGACAAGCUAGCCAGUGGCCAAUAUCGAGUAGUGCUAGCGACAAGCUAGCCAGUGGCCAAUAUCGAGUAGUGUUAGCGACAAGCUAGCCAGUGGCCAAUAUCGAGUAGUGUUAGCGACAAGCUAGCCAGUGGACAAUAUCGAGUAGUGCUAGCGACAAGCUAGCCAGUGGACAAUAACGAGUAGUGUUAGCAACAAAACAGCCAGCAGAUAAUAGCAAGUAGUAAGUUAAAGUGUGUGUGUGUUAGUUGUAUGUUCAAUGCUAUCGAUUUAACCAAGUACUGGGUGAAUAUAAAAAGUUUACACACCCCUGUUAAAAUGGCAGGUUUUUGUGAUGCAAGUUAAAUCAUGUCAGAACCUUUUUUCAACUUUAUUGUGAAAUUACAAUAUAUCGAGGAGGGGAAAUCCGUGACAGAGUGCCCCCCCGCAAGCACCCAAAAACCUCUCCCUCAGCGGUCCUGCCCUCUGGGCAAAAUGUCCACACUAAACUUAUAGUCCUGAGGCAGGCAUUGUUUUAGUAAUUGGGCAUACAUGUAAAAAGCAGGUGGUGUGUCAGCAACAGGCUCGCCAGGAUCAGAAGGCUGGGCUGGGACAUGAUCGCCAUGCUUCUUAGGCUGGAAACUGGCUUGAGAUGCUGUGUUGUCAGCCUCAGGCGUGAGCAAAGCUUGGUCAGCCAUCUCGUUAGCCUCAGGCAUGAGCAGAGCUUGAUGGGCCGUGUCGUCAGCCUCAGACAUGAGCAGAGUGUGGUGGGCCAUCUUGUCGGCCUCUGACUGGAACAUGGCUUGAUGGACCCUCUUGUCGGCCUCUGACUGGAACAUGGCUUGGUGGGCCAUCUCCUCGGCCUCUGACUGGAACAUGGCUUGAUGGACCCUCUUGUCGGCCUCUGACUGGAACAUGGCUUGAUGGACCCUCUUGUCGGCCUCUGACUGGAACAUGGCUUGGUGGGCCAUCUCCUCGGCCUCUGACUGGAACAUGGCUUGGUGGGCCAUCUCCUCGGCCUUUGACUGGAACAUGGCUUGAUGGACCCUCUUGUCGGCCUCUGACUGGAACAUGGCUUGGUGGGCCAUCUCCUCGGCCUCUGACUGGAACAUGGCUUGGUGGGCCAUCUUGUCAGCCUCCGGCAAGAACAGGACUUGGUAGGCUGUGCCGUCAAUCUCUAACUAGAACUGAACCCGAGAGGUCGCCUCUGUGACCUCUAUCAGGAUCAUGGCUGGAUAGACCAUUCAUUGGUCUCACACUGGGACUCAGGAGAUAACGUCACCACGUUGAUCACUGGCUGGAGUUCUGCAGGGAUUACAACCUCAGUUGGGAAUAUCAAUGGGAAUAUACUCAUAUGAAUUCAUAGGGGAGCCAAUAAUUGCUGCACACCUUUUUGGGAUAAACCUGUGUUGUGUUUGAUAAUUGUUUCUGUUAAAACACUUAAGAUGAAGAGGAAUCGAACCUUUCAGCAUGACAAUGACACACAGCAAUCCUCCAGAUCAACAAAGGAACGGCUUCAGCAAAACAAGUCGAAGGUAGAAUUUUACAACAAUGUUAAAAAAAGGUUCUGACGUGAUUUAUCGUGGUUUCAUUUUUUUACAUCACAAAAAACCUGCCAUUUUAACAGGGGUGUGUGGACUUUUCAGAUCCACUGUAUAAACCGAUCUAAAGCCAAUACUGUUAGAAACUCAUUAAAAGUAGAGAAGGGCACUUUACACCGGUCACAGUGUAAAUGAGCAGCCGUGUUGGUUUGACGUCACUCGGUGAACAGGGAAGGAACUCUUCGUCGAGGGGGCAUUCUUAGCAGCUGUAGACGGCGAAGUACAGGUCACGACUUCACCUCGAACGCAGUAUACGACCUCAGAUCUCGGCGCGCAUCACUAACGUCUCCCCGCAGAUGAAUCAGCAGAGCUAAAUAUGAACAGAACUUAACUCGAAAUAAAAAUCACACCCGAACACAUCCUCUCAGUCUGUAUAAAUACAUUAUCCUAAACUAAAGCGUAGGCCGAUGGUUUCUUUCUCUUCGAAAAAAACGGAACAGUUGCUUCUUUGAUAUCUGUGACCAAAAUUUGAAACGCUGUAAAUAUUCAUCUAAUAACCUUUUUUUUUUUUCUUUCUUUUUCUGGGAGUCUAGCAUUGAUGUUGCUCUCGUUGUUUAAAAACAUUCAAUGACGUCUCCGUCUGGGCUGAGACGAGAACCAUACCCAACCAAAAGAGUCUGACACAGGGGGGGAAAAAAAAUUCUCAGAUCCUGACAUUGGGCGUUCAUAACACCAUCACAAGCUAUAGGACUUCGACAGCUGAAUAGAAAGGUUCUUCAGUGCUUAUGAAUGUGUUCUAAAGGCCCAAUGUAGGCGUGUUCAAUACGUUUUUCCCGUGUCAUUCCACUUUAUUACACACAACUUUAUUUAUGGACUUUAAUGUCGUGAAUUCUUUAUAUUUCCGGAGUUCUUGAGUUGAUUCUGACGUCUGGUGAAAAUUUCAUGUGAACGACGUCAUUGGAAAUAUAUUGACUGAAAUAAAUGUUGACGCGUCCAAUGCUUAUUUCCGCCACUGUAUCUAUCUAUCUAUCUAUCCAUCUGUCUAAAGGUAGAAACGUCUUUGUAUUGACAAUCUAUUACCAAGACCAAGAUCAGAGUACUACAGAGAACUACAAUCCCGAAUAUUGCUGUUGAUAUUUUUCUGAAAGAUAUCCCAGCAUUAUCUGUGUGUGUGUUUCUUUUUGAAAGCAAUAAAAAAAAAAAAAAUACAAUAUGAAUAAUUCCUGCUCAGCUGAUUCGAUGUGCUCGGUGUUUCUCUCAGCCUCCAGAGUUCAGCUAAUCACAUUGAGAUGACUUUGAAUUGAAUUAUGCAAAUGUCUGAAUCAGACUUCCUGUUGUGCCUGUGAUGUCUUGGGUUUGUUUUCUCCACGAGCGCUGUUACACUCGAGACAGCAGGGAUACGCAAGAGAGAAAAAAACACAACACAGGCCAGAGAUGGUGAUCGGGUGCUGGGUUGGUUUUUAGAAUGACGUUUUUUUUUCAUCCUCUGUUAGCGUUAAUGCAAUGUUUGAAUGCUUUUGACUCUAAAAUGCUCCGUUUCCAGUGUUGUUAUCCUUUAAUUUCCACUAGACUGCCGUGAAUCCACGUUGACGCAUCGUAAAUGCAUCGAGAUUUGAAUUUCAUGCAGCGUGAGAGCAGGAACAAUCUCACAACUAGAACUAUUAUCGCUCCAUUCCCUAUUAAAACGUACACUACGCUGGAUUUUAAGACUAUAUCCUUUUGAAAAAUCUGUUCUUUUUUUAAAAAAAAAAAAAAAAAAAAAAAAAAAACAUCUGGAAUUUGAUUUAGUAAAGAACAUGUAACAACCCAGGGUUAUUGCGUCAUAAACUAUAAGAGCCAAUCAUGUUCCAGUAUGCAAAUGUGUUCUCUUAUUACAGCAGUUCAUUUAUCAGCAUUGUGGUGAAUGAUACACAAACAAAAUGAAGAAAUCCAGGACAUUUACUGUAUAGUACAACUCACUUGAAGUCCUGACAAUCGAACGGUGAGAAAUCUUAAGGCGAGUCUUUACAACAAAUCAUUUGUAAAGUAAAUAACGCAAAUUCUCGGCAUUAUUUCAACUCGUAGGCUACAGCGCCAAUCGCAGCAGGUUAAAAUUGAAAUAAAUGUCUUUUUUUUUUUUUUUUUUUUUUUUAGAAAUAUGAAUUCUAUCAAGAUCCAAAGCCAGGUUUUUUUUUGUUUUAUUCAACAUGUGUGCAUAUUUAAUUAGAUGAAGCCUAAUUUCCAUAAAUACAUGAAGAUUUUUAGCAAUCAGUUUGUAAAUAUUCUAUCAAGGUCAACUGAUUUAGCAGGUUUUUUUUUAAUUUUUUUAUUUUUAGCAUUUGUGAUUUUCUUAACUUUGUUUUCUAGCUUGUUUUCUUUUCUCACUUCUAAAGGCAUGACAUCGUCCAACUUCUCACCGUGUGUCAUUCAGUGAUAACUGCGAUGGAUGCGAGUGCAGUUAGACAUUUAAUAGAACAGCAGGCAGACAAAUCCAAAACGUGAAUCGAGAUCAGGAACAGGAAACAGGUAGAGGUCAGGUGAUCUACGAACAACAAUAUCGGGUUAAUCCGGAAUACACAAACGAGGGAACAGAAGACCGAGAACCGGCGAAUUACAACGUGGAACAAAAGACCCCAUUGUUCCAUUUUCAUAUGUUCCAUAAUCAUAAUUUAUUUUUCAUUCUUUAAAUGUCUAAAGCAAGAAAAAAAAAAAAGAAAGAUAUUUUUGUAUUUUCUACAUUUUCUAUAUAUUCUUUUGUAUUUAAAAAGGUGGUUGUCUAGACACUACCUACAAACACUUUAUCCGAAUGCUUCUACUAAAAAAAAAAUAUCUGGCAACCUCAGAGGCAUAAACUACAACAAGGGCAGGAUGGAAAUACUAAUAAAAACAAAGAGGAGUGAUUUUUUUAAAUGUACGUUGACUUGUAUUUAAACAAAAAAAACGUAUAAAGACAAGGUAUGUAAUGUUUUACGUUAUCAAAUACAUAGUUUUGCAUGCAACACGCACCAAAAAGCUGGGACAGGGGCGGUUUAGGACUAAAAGCCAUGCGAGAAGUUGAAAUAAGAAGGUGAUGUGAAACAGGUGAUCGUGUAAUCAUAGUAUAUAAGGAGCCUCCAAAAAAGGCCUAGAGUCUGUAAUGGACAUCCUGACAUGGGCUCGGGAAUACUUUGCUAAACCUUUGUCAGUCGACACCGUUCGCCGCUGCAUCCACAGAUGCAAGUUAAGGCUUUACUACGCAAAGCAGGAGCCAUCAAAACAUCAACAAUGUCCAGAAGCUCCGCCCACUCCUCUGGUCUCGGUCUCAUCUGGGAUGGACAGUAGCACAGUGGAGUCGUGUUUUGUGGUCCGACGAGUCAACAUGUCAGGUAGAAGAUGCCAGAAGCCGGCGUCUGUCAUGGUAUGGAGGUUGAGUCAGCGCACAUGGAAUGGGGGCGUGUCAUUGCCCAUGGCAGGGGUAACCUGCACAUCUGUGAGGGCAGCAUUCAUGCAGAAAGAUAUGUAGACAUUUUGGAGCAACAUACGCUGCCAUCCAGAGCAGGAGCGUGACUCCAGAUCUCACUUGAUCAGUAGUGUCAAUGUGGCGUCCUUUAGAGCGCCGACCAGUUUGGGUUUCAUCAGUAAUUGGUGUGUUAACCUGUAGCAUCAGAGGGGCUUUAUCAAUUCUUAUCAAAGGUAGGAAAUUCCCACGCAUGCAAACCUCUCUGUAGCGUUUCGCACCUUUACCAUCGUGAACCUCAUUAAAGUCACAGAUUAGACGAAUACAGCAGUGUACGAUAUAAAUUUCUAGAGUGUGGAACUUCGGUAAUUCCUAGAUCAGCAAGUGGUCCUGGAGUCCCUCUAUACUCUGCAUGAUAGCAUCUUUCCCACUCUAACACACUUGAUUCCAGUUAAAACUUAAUUAUGAAGCCGAUUAUGAGCAGAGCCUGUUAUGUUCCACCAGAGAAAAUGCGAAAUUUACAGUCGUGCUCUUCCGGAUGAGCGCCGAGAGCCACUGUGCCGGUUGUUGUUUUUUUUCCCACUGAGGAGAUCUGGAGUGAUUUUACACAGGGUUGUUAUUCGCAGGUUUAUAGUCGGAGGCCCUAAAGACAUCCCGGUGUCACUCUCGAGCCGGUUCCUGGACAUUUACGACCUUGCGGAGUUUAGUUUCAGCUUGGCCGCCUCGAACGAGAUGCUACCGAAGAUUAGAACGUAAACGCUGCACGACUAUAACUCUUCAGAGCCAACACGUGAUGUUCGACGGCGUUUCCGUUUCGUUUUCUCAAUGCGGUUGCGAGUUUUCCGGUCAAACGGGCAGCGGUGGCAGUGGGGUUCAUCCCUUGCUUCAUCUUUACCUAAAAAAAAGAGCGCUGCAGCAGCACUUUAGUACCGCAAUCUCAUGCUAAUACCGCCAUAACAAUAACACCGUAGAGCUCGUCAUCUCGUAGAUCGCCAACUAACCGAGCCUCAUCGUGUUCCGGCGUCUGCGUUCUGCUCUCGCGCAUUCUACAUUCGAUUUUUCAUUAACGUGACGCCGAACGUUGUUGGGAGAACGGUGAGUAAGAAAAGAAGCACUUCUGCUUCCUGUAAAAUGUCACCGUUAUCACUCACGUCUGAGACGAGUUGACAUUUUCAGCUUUUUCUUCUCUUUUUUUUUGCCUCCUCCUUCGAUUAAACGCCAUCGCAACUGCACGAGAACACGGUCGAGACAGACGCAGUAAAAAACCCUGUGCUAGGAAAUCAAUCUACCUAACAAAAAAAAAAAAAAAAAAGCAUAAAUUCUUGGAGACAUCAUCGUAAAUGCAGUCUAUAUUUGAUCAUCCUGGGUUUUAAACUCGGUUAUGCUUUUUGGGGAGAAAAAGU
ensembl:lncRNA